UACCGGAUAAGAAAGCAGAUCGCAUGAUCAGACUUUUUAAAAGGCGGACGUAAGCUGUCGCUAGUGGGGAUCGGGCCCCGCGGUGCAUUAGCUAGUUGGUAAAGGUAAAAGGGCUUACCAAGGCGAUGAUGCAUAGCCGAGUUGAGAGACUGAUCGGCCACAUUGGGACUGAGACACGGCCCAAACUCCUACGGGAGGCAGCAGUAGGGAAUCUUCCACAAUGGACGCAAGUCUGAUGGAGCAACGCCGCGUGAGUGAAGAAAGUUUUCGGAUCGUAAAGCUCUGUUGUUGGUGAAGAAGGAUAGAGGUAGUAACUGGCCUUUAUUUGACGGUAAUCAACCAGAAAAGUCACGGGCUAACUACGUGCCAGCAGCCGCGUAAAU
rnacentral:rRNA from 1 species